rnacentral:ncRNA from 2 species
CUCUUAUCCAGAGAGGCUGAGGGACUGGCCCAAUGACGCCCGGCAACCGGUUUUAAGCGGAAAGGCUUAAAAACGCGGUGCCAAUUCCUGCAGAGCUUUAAAAGCUCUGAGAGAUAAGAU